CAAAGAAUAGUUUAGUCUAGAAUCCUAGCUUUGGGAGUUAGGGGUGGGAGUUAGAAUCUCCCUUCUUUGA
rnacentral:tRNA from 1 species